CACAUCAUGUAAUAAAGAUCAGUCACUCUUCUGAAAAGACCGUAAAGGCUUCGUCUCCGUGUUGUGUAAUUUUUGUAGUAAAAUCUGGGAUUCUGUCGUGGGGAAUGGCCAUGAAAUUCUACAUAGGGAAGAAAUUGCGGGACCAAGCAAUGUGUUUAGGUUUAGGCGCCCUGCAUUGCAAGGAACCCAUUGCUAUUUGUACCAAACAGAUAUUAAAAUCGAGGUGAGUGGAUGUCUGUCUGUUAGACUGCAUAAGACUGCUGUUAGAAGUAUUAUUGUCAACGGGCCCCAACAUUAAAAAUGAAAUCAUUUUAUCAUCAGAAAGCUGUUGGCUUUAAUAUUAUAAAGCUGUGUUCUGCAAUUAACAAAAGCAUUCUGGUUCUUCGUCCCCCGCUUCAUCCUGCCGACAUUUUUCUGCAGCCUGGAGAGCUUUUCAUUGGGGUUUUCAUAGGUGAUAAGGCUGGGAAUACAUGGUGGAGAAGCAGGGCACGUGCGAGAAAGAAAAAAUCGCAUGUGCCAUUCUUCCCCACUAUGGAAUACCCUUUGCCGUUUCAUGGAACUGGGCUUUCGUAAUCUUCUAUCAGAUUGGAAAAGUAGGCUAUGAACAGGCUAAGUAAGGGAUGAGAUUAUUUGGUAUCGCAACGGCAAGUGCAGGAUCGUGAUACGAUGAUGGGUGAAUUCCAAAACGAUAUUCUACUUCUGUUAGGCCAUUUUAUUGCAGAUCUAAUGAAUAUAAAUGCACCCAAGCGGUAUCACUGAGGGUGUCUCUUCAAUGUGUAAUUCCAAUGUACAUGUAGCACAUUCAUUUGAAAUUAAAAAAAUAUAGAGAUAAUUAGUAAUUUUGGAGCA